rnacentral:rRNA from 1 species
AUUGAAGCCAUCUGAAUUGAAGAGUAUCCCAAAAUACUCGCAACAUCUCUUUUAUACAGAAUCAAGGACUGAUUUAGGUGAAUUUCGAAAACUUUUCUAUCCUAAUGAGGGGGAAAAGAGGGUCCCACAAAACAUAAAAUCAUUGCUUAAAGAUCCUUUAUCUUUAGCGGUGUGGUUUAUGGAUGAUGGUACUCUUGAUUUUCGAGAUAAAUACCACCGAAAUGCUCUAUUUGCGACACAUUGUUUUUCAUUUAAUGAUUGCAAUCUCUUAAGUGAUAUGUUGCGAGAAAACUUUGGAUUAAAAGUUUCUGUCUGCAAGUGUCAGAUGCGUGGGAAAAUGUAUUAUAGGUUAUAUGUUUAUUCGGAGAGUAUGAAACUUUUCGAAGAUAUUAUUAAACCUUUUAUGCAUAAAGAUUACGCAUAUAAAAUUAGAAAUUGUCAAGGCCAGCAGCAGCGGUAAUACGAGUGCCUCGAGCGUUAUCCGGAAUUAUUGGGCGUAAAGGGUGUGUAGGCGGCUUUGGCCCGAUGUAAGAGUCGGGCUCCCGAUACCGUAAGGUCGUCGGGAUUAGUCCUUGGUCAAAUUCUUCGGCUUAACCGGGGGUCCGCCAAGGAAACGGCAAAGCUUGAGGGUGCGAGAGGUGAAUGGAACUCAUGGUGUAGGGGUGAAAUCCGUUGAUAUCAUGGGGAACACCAAAAGCGAAGGCAAUUCACUGGCGCACUCCUGACGCUGAAACACGAAAGCCAGGGGAGUGAAGCGGAUUAGAUACCCGCGUAAUCCUGGCCCUAAACGAUGAUCACUAGCUUUUCGGAGUAUCGACCUUCUGAGAGGCGAAGCUAACGCGUUAAGUGAUCCGCCUGGGUAGUACGGCCGCAAGGCUAAAACUCAAAGGAAUAGACGGGGACUUGCACAAGCGGUGGUCCAUGUGGUUCAAUUCGACGGUAAACGAAGAACCUUACCAGGGUUAGAAAUCCAGACGAAGGCAGGCAGAAACGUCUGUCGUCUCACAAGGACGGCUGGACAGGUGCUGCAUGGCUGUCGUCAGUUCGUGAUUUGAACUUAAUUCGAAUCCUUCUCGAGUAAUCGAGUCGAAAAAUCCAACUCAUAACGGGGGAACCCUAAAUGUAGUCAUGAUAUAAUUAUGAUUAUAUGGGUAAUCCCGUGGGAAGUUUGGAAGUUCCAAUAGUGCUUCAUGCUAGAAAAAGAAUUUUUCUCUCAUUGUCUUCAAGACAAAGAGAUAUUCUUAUCGGUAGCGUGUUAGGUG